UGGCCCCUGGAUGCACAGGCCUCGGGGUCGCGGGUCAGCGGGUCAGCAGGGCUGGAUAGACCUGAAGCGGAGCGCAGGAGAAACCCGGCGCAGGAGACUCCUCGCGCGGUUCUCCCGCAGUCGGCCCCGGAAGCUGCCCUCCCCCGAGCCGGGAAACCCACUCACCAUUUCCGACGGGUGGGCCUGCGGGGCCGCAGGGCGCGCCAGCCGGGGCCUCGGUCCCCUGGAAAGAGAGAAAGAGGAGCACACUGGGCUGCUGGUGGUGCUGCAAGGGCCUGACAGCUGAGCAGCAGGAGCCACCAGACUAGAGGGAACCAUCCGACCUGGCUAGACAAGGAUGGAGAAGAGGCGGGCCGUGGAGCCAGUUGCAGCCAGCACCUCUCCAUCCCCCUGGCAACGCUCUCACUUGCUGAUGGCUGCCAGUGCCUGACGACUGGUCACCAGAGACUCUCCUGACUCGUGUCUGGGGGCAGGUCAGGAGUGCGAGGGAAGAAUGCCCCUGAGAGCAGCCCUCAGCAGUGACAGGAAGGUGGAUGUAUCCCAGCUUCUACACUGCAGGCGGAACAACUCGGGUAUGCUCCACACUGUCGCCCCUCGUCCGCACGAGACUGAGCCCCAGCUUGCUGCCCCUCUUGAUGAUUCCCCUUGUACUGGUCCCUCGCUCCCCACCUCACCCCCUACCUGCCUACCUGUGUUUCCGUGAUCAUCUCGCCAAUAUAACCUACCUGCAGAUUCUCAUCUUGGGGUCGGCUUUCGGGGGAACCACAACCAAGACAGCCCCUUCCCGCCUCCCCCCCAACCGUCGCCUGCAGCCUGGAGGGGUUUGUCACAAAGCCUCAUGCUGCCUGCCAUCUGUGCCAUAGCCUGGGACAGAGCCCAGAGCCAGGGCCAGCUGUGCCCUCGGAGAGCUGGUGGCACAGGUGGAAUCCCGCCGGUCACCCCUGCGUGUGGUGAGGGUGGCAGGCUGCAGCAGCAUGAGGCCGAGUGAGUGCUAACGAAGGCUUUUAAGAACCCUGGGCGGAUGCAGGGAAAGGAGCAGGACGCAGGGCAGCAGGCAAGGCUGAUGUCAGGCUUUGGAACACCAGGACGGGGUGUGGGAUGUUCUUUCUCAGCCCCUUGUUCCAGACUCUCGGUUUCCCAAAGAUUUGAACCUCCUUGCAGAGGGAAAAGAAAGGAGCCUGCCAUCCGCUGCAAACAAGGACUUGACCCCACAGUUAGGAGCUGUCAUUGACCCUCUCCAGGCAUUGGGAAGGCUGGGGUUAGGGACAGAUUGGGGACACCUCUGUGCAACUUGACAGAGCUGGCUGCUGAGACAAAGAGCCCAGUGCCCCCCCCAAGUGGUGGGUCACAGCCCAGCCCCUAAGGCCCUGUGGGUGAACAGAGAGCAGGGGAGAGACCAUCCUGCAGAAAGGACACUGUCCUGAGUGUUACCCCAGCCACCACACAGCACUGCCCCUGAGGGCCACGGCUGGAGGACUGCCACUUCCCAUUCAUCUACACCUUUCCGCCUCCAUAUCUUUGAGAAUGUUACUACAAAAGCACGUACUGCUAAAAAAAGUUGUGAUUUUUUGAA